CGCUGCCUACAUGGGCCAGGAUGCCCCGAACCGAGCAGUCCGGGAUGGUUAUGCUGGCCUUUAGCUCUACAGACCAGCAUAAUCUCUGUGAGUUUGAGAGCAUUCCCCAACCUCCUCUCAACCAAUCUUAAACAUUGGUUAGAACGCAUGUUCCCAUGGUCAAACGUAGUAAUCCUCCAGAGAAAACGGGGACCGGAUGUAAUUAGCGUGCAGCGGAAGAGGAAGGCGAAAGAAAGGAACGCCGGACGGAAUAUUAUGUUGCCACCCCCAAAACCCCAGCUCUUCCCUCGCAAGCCCCGCAACAAAGGAGGGAAGUCGAAGAAGAAGGCCAAGAUCACCCUCCCCCCUUCCUCCGAUCCCAUCCCUUCUCCCACUCCUCCGCCCCCGCCUCCUCCGACGCCGCCGCCUCCCCCUCCGCCUCCCUUCCUGUUUCGCACCUAUCCUUCGCCUUCCUCGACUUCUUCCACCCCUCUUCCUCCCCCCUCGAUGCCCAGGAAGCGCUUCCUUCGUCGUAUCAUGCCGCUCCUCCUCGUGGGCUCGGGAGCUUAUGCACUAAUGAGGAACUCAGAGAAAGAAUUAGCUGUGAAGGAUGAAAAGCUGGGCUAGAGGUUUCUUCUGUUCCAGUUGAGAGUUCAGAGGUUACAGUUCCUGAGUAAACUUCCAUCAGACCUAUUUCUUCACCUGUAAAGAUUCUUCUUUCAUCAUACGGGGACCAGUAUUGGCUCUUCAUAUGGUUUUAAUAAGAGAAGAGGAUGAUCAAGGCUGGUAGCCUGUUAAAGAAGACAUAAUGUAGUUGGGCACAUUUGUCCAAAGAUUUUGAGUGCCUGGCAGAUAAAUGCAGCGCCAGCAAAUGCCUCUUUGGAUUGAAUUCUGAAGAUCUGCCAUUUUGGAUACAUUUGCAGAAUUCUGUUUUUCUUUGCCAUGAGGAAUAGGUUUAGUUCUGCCUCUUUCUUGAAUAAUGGCAGAAAUGCAUAUUAUAACUGCACUGAUGGAAUGGCAUGCAAUAUCCAACUAACAAGGUUAGUUGUCCAUUGCUUGAAAAUUUUGAAGGAGACAAACUGAAAGAAUGUGAUUCCAAGUGAAACCAAAGUUUAGACAAUAACCUAUUUGGUUAAGAGUUGAUAGUUUGCCUUUUCAAACCAAUAUUGCUAGUAUGGAAACAGUUUGAUGCAUUGGUUAGUCCGAUGUAACUUUGAGCCUGAUAUAACCUAAGCUAAAUACCCUGGACCAGGUUCUUUCUUUCUCUCAACUAGCAUUAACUAGUUAAGUUAGCGGUGCGUCCUUGUACAAAGCAACUUCAGUGAUGUGCCUGCAAUAAAAUCUAGAAGGCCAGUUGGUAGGUAAAAAUUUAUUUUAUUGGUCAUGGAAUUUACACUUAUGCAAGUAAAUACUUUCUCCAGACUUGAGAAAAGUCUAGAUAGAAGGAAGAAAUUUAGGAAUGAAUAUGAGCAACUAUGGUUAUCUCUUGUAGAAGAAACCAAAGAGACAUAUUGAGGCUAAAUGCAUAAUUAGCAGUUGAAGUGAUGAAAGGAUGAGGUUUGGUCCUUGUUCUUCACUGGAACUUUUGUGACCUCAGUCAAUUGAAUGGAGGUGCCAUGCUUUCACUAGCCAUCUUUUGAGGUUUCUGUAAAUUGGAGAUUAUUGGCUUUAUCUAUGGAAUUCCUUUUAGACUCGCACCAUGGGAUGUAUCACAGCCUCUAGAACUACCACCAAACACCCUUCGCUUCAGGACUAUGUAUACUGGUUUGGUUUUUUGUGUUGUUGUAGUUAAUCUUACAUGCACAUGAACUAAGAAUAUAGAAUAUCUGCUGAAACCAAUGGACAUGAAAUUGUUUCAUUUUCUAACAUCUUUUCAGAGGGAAUCCAACUUAUAGCUGUGGAAUCUGUUCAUUUUGUUGGAUGUCUAAUUCAGUAUGCGGCAUAAAUUUUUACUCACCGGAUCAGAUCAUCAAAUAUUUAGAACCCUUCAGCAAAAGUUACAGAGAUUUCUGGUUAAUUUGACAUGGUUGAAUCUUGAAAGAGUUAUAUACCUCUCAUUUCUGUUAUUAGUUCAUCUAUGAAGAGACAGAGCAAUGGGGACAUAAUAUCAGUUUCAUGAGUCUAACAAGAAUUAACAUUGACUCGAAACACGUGUUUUUUUAAUACUAUUUUGGAUAGAUAUUGUAUGGUUUAGAAAGGCCAUCUUUUAAUCUAGAUGUGUUAAUCGAAUAUUAAUGUGUAUUGAACAAAAUUAGGACAAGAAAUAUUAGUCUUUAGAAGAAGCUGUUGGCAAUAAUAUAAAUGAGCGGAAGACAUACACCUUAUCUUUCUUAAGGAAUGGGUUUCUUGUAUGGGUUUAGAAUCUGAGCAACUUGGAACCCCAGAAAUUCCUCAAACUAAGGACCUUAGGCUUAGUCAUGGCUGUUAGGUAGGCUAUCAGUACUUUGGAAAUUGUCAUGAUUUGUUUUUCCAAGUUACUUUGGCUGCCACUGCCACUGCUGUAAACUCGGGUGGAGGUAUUCCUGAAAGGAACUCAGCAACCAGGAAAAUUAUACUGUACAGGAGAAAAUUCUGUUGGUCGCUAGGAGAGGAGGGAGUUAUGGUUAAUGAUGCAGGAGAUUGAACUUGAAAUUUAAAACGUUUUGUUCGCAAUUAGUAUAUAUAUAUAUAUAUAUAUAUCUGUAACCAUAAGUGAUCCGUUUCUCUCUUCAGAAAACAAUGUUCUCUUUGCCAAUUAGUUAGGAAUCUGA